ensembl:lncRNA
AUGAGACCUGAAGAGAAAUUGCACACAGUACAUGCCAUACCACCACACAUACAUGUUACUCGUCCCAGCAGCACGGUUAGUGAAGCUGGAGUUUCUGGUCAAAUUUUCUUGCAUAACUGCAGGACUGGAGCUGGGGAACCAGCUGUACUUCCUGUUUGUGUGGUGAUCCAGCCUUCACUUGGGAAGUGGCCCUCAGCAGGUGCCUCUCACACUUUUUGGCUCUUGAGCUAAAAUCUUUGGCCAGCCCUGACUGUGCGAGGGAACUCAUUCAGUGAAUCAGAGGCCAUAGGAUUGGUUUCCCGUUCAACCUUUCGGAUCCUAGGGCUUAUGAAGAAUAACACCAAGCACUGCCUUUGGGAAGCCUUCUUGCAAGCUGAAAGUGAAAGAAAGGUAAUAAUUACAUUUAAACAAUCAACCAAAGCAAAUCUCACCUUUGGGUUUGUAUAUUUAUAGUGAAGCAAUAAUUAUAAGGCGCUUGUGUUGCAGCAUUGUGUUUGCUUUGAAAAACAGAUUGCCCUUGCUCUCCACUGGAUGCAUAAUUGGAUCUCCUGAAUUAAAGUAGUGAUGCAGUAAAAGUUUAUUUAUCCAGGGCUCAUUAAAAGAAAAACUGAAUGGAAUGAGAAAACUCCCACUUAGGGGAUGGGAUUAAAUACUCAUAGGGUAUCCCUCCCCCAUGCUCUUUCAAGCUUUUUUGUUUCUCAAUCUGCUUGCAAAGAAAAAGUAAAUUGCCAGAAGUGAGAUUAGUAGGGGAUAUUGUUCUAAGGACAAUAGGUCUUGCUGGACGGGUAUGAGAUCUCUGCUUCAAAAACACUACCAGACCUGGAGGUGUGUGAGCUCUUAAUUGCCUACCUCUGAUAAAUUGGCAGUAAAAAAAAAAAAUCUCAUUCAGCAUUGCAUUAGCCUGGAUCAAGUCCACCUGCUAAUCAGAGUUUAAUGAGGAGACUGCUAGCCCUAACAUAUUCAAAAUGUUCAAAAUUGCCCUGGCCUCAUGUUUGUGUGGUUAGCAUUUCCUUUCCCCUAUCACCCCAGUAUACAGUCCUACAAAGAGAAACACACAUCCUGAGAGAAAUUAAUUAAGUUUGGGCCAGGCACUGUGGGUCAUUGGAAGGGAGAGUGGGAGAUGAUGAACGUCCUCCUUAGAAGAAGUGAAAAUGUAGGGCUAUGCGUUAUAUGAUUAUAAUUCAUUCCCCUGGCAUCCAGAUGGUUCACACUCAGUCACUGGGGUAAAAGCCCUUCACCGCUCAAAAGCAAAUCAGAUCUUUAGAGAGAUCAGACAAAUUGCAGGAUUUUCAACACUUUAUCAAAUGUAAGUCUUAUUCUGCUGUUUUUCAGACUCUACAGGAGUCACAUAGAAGUGUUCAGAAAUCAUGAAUGAGGCCUCUGAACAUGAUUGGUAUUUUGUAUUAUUUGUAUUACCAUCAUUCUUAGGAGCCCCAGUCAUGGAUCAGGACCCCAUCAUGCUAGGUGCUGUAAAACACAGACAAUUGGCACGCCAAACAGUUUAUAACAUACAAUCAUGAGACUGUUUAUCUUCUGAUUUGCCUUCUGGUUUUUGAGCCUUUAUGGUUCAUAAUCUUAAAUUUUUCUCUGAAACCAAAAGGGCUAGAAAUUUACUUUUGUUUUUGCUUUUGUUUUUGUAGUGAAAGCUGAGAUUCUCACAUAAUCACUUGACCUCCAGGAGCUGAGUCUUUAAGAGAAACAACAAAUAUUGUGACACUAGCAAUAAAAUCAUGAAAGCUGGUAAUACUGAAGUCA